rnacentral:rRNA from 1 species
UCUUAAUAUUGCACAUUUAAGGUAACCUAGCCGCAACCCCCCUCAAUUGGUAAAAUAUUUAGUUGGGGUGACGCGAAGACAUAAACUCUUUUUUAAAAACUUUUAUGCAAGGUAAUAUGACCCGGCUCCCGAUCAAAAGUAUAAGU